rnacentral:rRNA from 1 species
AGAAUCAACGCUGGCGGCGUGCCUAACACAUGCAAGUCGCACGAGAAAGGGACUUCGGUCCUGAGUAAAGUGGCGCACGGGUGAGUAACACGUGAAUAAUCUACCUCCGAGUGGGGAAUAACUGAGAGAAAUCUUAGCUAAUACCGCAUAAUACCCACGGGUCAAAGCAGCAAUGCGCUUGGAGAGGAGUUCGCGGCCGAUUAGCUAGUUGGCGGGGUAAUGGCCCACAAGGCGAUGAUCGGUA